UGAAAGCCAAGGAGUUGAUUAUG
rnacentral:siRNA from 1 species